UGAUACGGGUUGACUAGAGGAAAGUAGGGGAGAACGGAAUUCCUGGUGGAGCGGUGGAAUGCGCAGAUAUCAGGAGGAACACCGGUGGCGAAGGCGGUUCUCUGGACUUUUCCUGACGCUGAGAAGCGAAAGCGUGGGGAGCAAACAGGCUUAGAUACCCUGGUAGUCCACGCCGUAAACGGUGGGUACUAGGUGUGGGGGACUUCCACGUUCUCCGUGCCGUAGCUAACGCAUUAAGUACCCCGCCUGGGGAGUACGGCCGCAAGGCUAAAACUCAAAGGAAUUGACGGGGCCCCGCACAAGCGGCGGAGCAUGCGGAUUAAUUCGAUGCAACGCGAAGAACCUUACCUGGGUUUGACAUAUACCGGAAACAUCCAGAGAUGGGUGCCCCCUUGUGGUCGGUAUACAGGUGGUGCAUGGCUGUCGUCAGCUCGUGUCGUGAGAUGUUGGGUUAAGUCCCGCAACGAGCGCAACCCUCGUCCUAUGUUGCCAGCGGGUUAUGCCGGGAACUCAUGGGAGACCGCCGGGGCCAACUCGGAGGAAGGUGGGGAUGAGGUCAAGUCAUCAUGCCCCUUAUGUCCAGGGCUUCACGCAUGCUACAAUGGCUGGUACAAAGGGCUGCGAACCUGCAAGGGUGAGCGAAUCCCAAAAAGCCAGUCUCAGUUCGGAUUGGGGUCUGCAACUCGACCCCAUGAAGUCGGAGUCGCUAGUAAUCGCAGAUCAGCAACGCUGCGGUGAAUACGUUCCCGGGGCUUGUACACACCGCCCGUCAAGUCAUGAAAGUCGGUAACACCCGAAGCCG
rnacentral:rRNA from 1 species